ACCCCGAGUUUUCCUUUCAGGAAGAAGGUGAGUGCCGACCCUAAGUCCGCCUCGCCCGACCCCUCCUAUCCGCCCGACCCCAGUUCCGUCUCGUCCGACCCUGUCUGUUCGCCGACCCUUGUCCGCCUCGCCCGAGGGCUUGGCUGUGAUCUUUUUCUUCAACUCGAGGGUGUAUGUGUAAAACGUGGGAACCCUUCAGCGCCUACGUCUGAGGAUCCCAGUUAUCACAUCCUCUAGUUCAAGGAUCAGACCACUAGUUCCCUUCCUACCCUUACCUGUUGAUCAUCAUCAGCUCUCUCAAACAGCCUCAACCUCCUGCUCUUUGUCGC
rnacentral:lncRNA from 1 species